AUUGAACGCUGGCGGCAGGCCUAACACAUGCAAGUCGAGCGGAUGAAGGGAGCUUGCUCCUGGAUUCAGCGGCGGACGGGUGAGUAAUGCCUAGGAAUCUGCCUGGUAGUGGGGGAUAACGUCCGGAAACGGGCGCUAAUACCGCAUACGUCCUGAGGGAGAAAGUGGGGGAUCUUCGGAACUCACGCUAUCAGAUGAGCCUAGGUCGGAUUAGCUAGUUGGUGGGGUAAAGGCCUACCAAGGCGACGAUCCGUAACUGGUCUGAGAGGAUGAUCAGUCACACUGGAACUGAGACACGGUCCAGACUCCUACGGGAGGCAGCAGUGGGGAAUAUUGGACAAAGGGCGAAAGCCUGAUCCAGCCAUGCCGCGUGUGUGAAGAAGGUCUUCGGAUUGUAAAGCACUUUAAGUUGGGAGGAAGGGCAGUAAGUUAAUACCUUGCUGUUUUGACGUUACCAACAGAAUAAGCACCGGCUAACUUCGUG
rnacentral:rRNA from 1 species